rnacentral:lncRNA from 1 species
CUGAUACCCACAGGAGCCGGGCUCGCGAUUCCCGGCAGGCGGCCGCUGCGCCCCUGCGGAGAGGAGGCUCCGGCUGCUCGACUGCGACCCCUGGCGGCCGUCGGAGAAACUCCCCGCAGAGCUGCACAAGCGAAUGGGCCGCUGGACAGGAAGCGAAGGGAGGAUUUUAAUGGAAACUGGGUUCACACAGCUCUCAAGCCCAGACCCAAAUGUGCAAGCAGACCAGGCAGCACCCACAAAAUGGAAGAGUACAUGAGAGGCCGGAACUAAGCAGAUCCUGACCCAGAGCUCCAAGUUCCCAACAACGCUAAGAAUCUAUGACUGGGGAGA